UGCAAGUCGAGCGAAGUAAGUUCAGAUGAAAUUUUCGGAUGGAAUUUGAAUUUAUCUUAGCGGCGGACGGGUGAGUAACGCGUGAGGAACCUGCCUUCCACAAAGGGAUAGCCUCGGGAAACUGGGAUUAAUACCUUAUGACACUAAUAUAUCGCAUGGUAUAUAAGUUAAAGCGUAAAGCGGUGGAAGAUGGUCUCGCGUCCCAUUAGCUAGUUGGUGAGGUAACGGCUCACCAAGGCUGCGAUGGGUAGCCGGCCUGAGAGGGUGAACGGCCACACUGGAACUGAGACACGGUCCAGACUCCUACGGGAGGCAGCAGUGGGGAAUAUUGCACAAUGGAGGAAACUCUGAUGCAGCGACGCCGCGUGAACGAUGAAGGCCUUCGGGUCGUAAAGUUCUGUCCUUGGGGACGAUAAUGACGGUACCCAAGGAGGAAGCCCCGGCUAACUACGUGCCAGCAGCCGCGGUAAUACGUAGGGGGCGAGCGUUGUCCGGAAUUAUUGGGCGUAAAGGGUUCGCAGGCGGUCCUUUAAGUCAGAUGUGAAAGACAUAGGCUUAACCUAUGUAAGCAUUUGAAACUGAAGGACUUGAGUUAAGGAGAGGAAAGUGGAAUUCCUAGUGUAGCGGUGAAAUGCGUAGAUAUUAGGAGGAAUACCAGUGGCGAAGGCGACUUUCUGGACUUAUACUGACGCUGAGGAACGAAAGCGUGGGGAGCAAACAGGAUUAGAUACCCUGGUAGUCCACGCCGUAAACGAUGAGUGCUAGGUGUUGGUGGGAGACCAUCGGUGCCGCAGCUAACGCAUUAAGCACUCCGCCUGG
rnacentral:rRNA from 1 species